AUACGUAGGUGACAAGCGUUAUCCGGAUUUACUGGGCGUAAAGGGCGUGUAGGCGGUCUUGCAAGUCAGAAGUGAAAUUCCUGAGCUCGACUCGGGCGCUGCUUCUGAAACUGCAGGACUUGAGUGCUGGAGGGGAUAGCGGAAUUCCUAGUGGAGCGGUAAAAUGCGUAGAUAUUAGGAGGAACACCAGUGGCGAAGGCGGAUUGCUGGACAGCAACUGACGGUGAAGCGCGAAAGUGUGGGGAGCAAACAGGAUUAGAUACCCUGGUAGUCCACACUGUAAACGAUGAAUACUAGGUGUGCGGGGACUGACCCCCUGCGUGCCAGCGUUAACACAAUAAGUAUUCCACCUGGGGAGUACGAUCGCAAGGUUGAAACUCAAAUGAAUUGACGGGG
rnacentral:rRNA from 1 species